CGCAGCCGCGGUAAUUCCAGCUCCAAUAGCGUAUAUUAAAGUUGUUGCAGUUAAAAAGCUCGUAGUUGAAUUUCGGGAUCAAAGGAUCGGUCAUGCCUUGGUAUGUACUGGUUUUAUUGGUUCUCACCUUCUAAAGAACCAUAAUGUCAUUCAUUUGAUGUUAUGGGGAAUUAGGACUGUUACCUUGAAAAAUUAGAGUGUUUAAAGCAGGCUUACGCUUGAAUACAUUAGCAUGGAAUAAUGAAAUAGGACAUCAGAUUCUAUUUUGUUGGUUUCUAGGAUCGAUGUAAUGAUUAAUAGGGAUAGUUGGGGGCAUUAGUAUUCAAUUGUCAGAGGUGAAAUUCUUGGAUUUAUUGAAGACUAACUACUGCGAAAGCAUUUGCCAAGGAUGUUUUCAUUAAUCAAGAACGAAAGUUAGGGGAUCGAAGACGAUCAGAUACCGUCGUAGUCUUAACCAUAAACUAUGCCGACUAGGGAUCGGAUGAUGUUAAUUUUAUAAUGACUCAUUCGGA
rnacentral:misc_RNA from 1 species